GCAGAAAACAUCCAAAGAAAAUACAUAAAUGACUAGACUACUGUAAAGAAUAUUUCUCGAACAUGGAGUCAAUCCAUGGUGAUGAUAUUAUGUCAUUCAAAUGUUGUUACAUCUAAUAAUGGCAAAAUUAAUACCUUAAUAGCAUCAAACACAAAAUAGAAAAGAGAAAAUAAAUCUCUACUUUGAAGAAGUGUAGCCAUAAAUUAGAUUCAACCAACAGCUUGACUACAUAGUAGCAAACAAUAGAGAUUGAAGCUAAAAUGAACUUUAGAAACCAGAACGUUGAAGCCCAAUACCUAUGAACAAAGAUAACUGAAGAUUCUUUUUUGUUUUCUGAUAUUUUUCUGAAAUUGGAAGGCUGGAAUUCCAGAUUUUUUAUGAGAAAAUGAGAAUAAAAAUAAGUCAAGAGGAAUAUCUCUGAA
rnacentral:lncRNA from 1 species